CCUACGGGAGGCUGCAGUGGGGGAUAUUGCACAAUGGGGGAAACCCUGAUGCAGCGACGCCGCGUGUGGGAAGACGGUCCUCUGGAUUGUAAACCACUGUCCCCAGGGACGAAGAGGACGGUACCUGGGGAGGAAGCUCCGGCUAACUACGUGCCAGCAGCCGCGGUAAUACGUAGGGAGCGAGCGUUGUCCGGAAUUACUGGGUGAAAAGGGAGCGUAGGCGGGGAUGCAAGUUGGGUGUCAAAACUACCGGCUCAACUGGUAGUCGCACGCAAAACGGCAGCUCUUGAGUGAAGUAGAGGCAGGCGGGAGUCCUAGUGUAGCGGUGAACUGCGUAGAUAUUAGGAGGAACACCAGUGGCGAAGGCGGCCUGCUGGGCUUUUACUGACGCUGAGGCUCGAAAGUGUGGGGAGCAAACAGGAUUAGAUACCCCUGUAGUC
rnacentral:rRNA from 1 species